rnacentral:rRNA from 1 species
GACGAACGCUGGCGGCGUGCUUAACACAUGCAAGUCGAACGGAAAGGCCCUGCUUUUGUGGGGUGCUCGAGUGGCGAACGGGUGAGUAACACGUGAGUAACCUGCCCUUGACUUUGGGAUAACUUCAGGAAACUGGGGCUCAUACCGGAUAGGAGCUCCUGCUGCAUGGUGGGGGUUGGAAAGUGUCGGCGGUUGGGGAUGGACUGGCGGCUUAUCAGCUUGUUGGUGGGGUAGUGGCUUACCAAGGCUUUGACGGGUAGCCGGCCUGGGAGGGUGACCGGCGUCAUGGGGACUGAGAGACGGCCCAGACUCCUACGGGAGGCAGAAGGGGGGAAUAUUGCACAAUGGGGGGGAGCCUGAGGCAGCGACGCCGGGUGCGGGAUGACCUCCUACGGGUUGUAAACCGCUUUCGACUGUGACGAAGCGGGAGUGACGGUAAUGGGUAAAGAAGCACCGGCUAACUACGUG